GUCAUACCAAUAACUGUUAGUUCCACCAAUAUAUUCACCCUCAUAAUCUCCAACUGUGAUACUGUGCCCUCACAGCUUUCAGCACACAAUUACCCUCAUUCCAAUCAUUGGAAUUCUUUACACAAAACUGCCAUUCACAUAACGGUGUUUCACACAAACACAGACUCAUUCUCUCUGUUGGACUAUAAUCAGAUUUGAGCAUUUAAUCUUUCUUCUUCUCAAAUAAUACCAAUCACAUUUCCAUUCCAUAAUUCACUUCACAAUAUUCAGAAACUCUCAAUCCUCUUAUUCAAAGAAAAUAACAAACAAAAGAAAAGAAAUAGCACCAAGCUUACCUCGGCUCACAACUAUCACAGCGAUGGCACCUUAAUUAACUUCUACAACUCCUAUAUACUUUCUCUUGAUUCUCCAGAUUCUAAUCAUAAUUCUAUAAUUAACCACUUUUAAUAACUAAAUCACUCAUCCGUCUUCCUGAAUUUUCUAUUAUAUAGACUAUUAAUAUAUUUUACCAAUAUCUUUCAAAAAUGAAUUAAUAUCUA
rnacentral:lncRNA from 1 species